GGGGGCGGAUGAGGGUCUGGUGUCCUCCGCGGUCUUCAAAACCGAUCGGGACGGCAGGUGCCGUCCGGUGGGUUCGAUUCCCACACGCUCCC
rnacentral:tRNA from 1 species